GUUUGCUUUAUGCUUCCUUUACAGGUGGAAUUUUGAGGGGUUCUAGAAGGGAAAGAUUGUUAAAUAAGUUUUGGAAAACGAGUGUGAGAAGAUAGAUCGUCUUAUGGAGUUGUAUAUGAGAUAUUCAGAUAGAGUUGCAGCGGAGACUGAACGAAUGAAUGAGCUUGAACUUGAUGAUUUAGAGAUGGAUGAAGAAGAAAGGUAUAAUCGGAGGCUUGAAUCUGGACUAUACACUCUUCAGUUAAUUGCUAUCAU